GCUGUUGCUCCACUGCUGGCUGCUCUCCCUGGACCCCUACCAUGGAGAAGACUGUCGAAGAUCCCCCCACAUCAGCUGUCUUGCUGUAUCACUGUCAUUUCUCUCAGGUCAUCUUUAACAGUGUGGAAACGUUCUACAUCCCUGGGAGGGAUGUCACAUGUCAUUACGCCUUCACCCAGCAUUUCAUCCCUCAUCUAAAGGAUUGGAUUGGCAUCUUCAGACUGGGAUGGAAGACAACCCGUGAGUAUUACACCUUCAUGUAGGUUAAUUUGCCCACUGACCUAAACAAUGAAUCAGCCAAACAGCAGGAAGUCCAAUUCAAAGCUUACUGCCUGCCCAAGGAUGAUGAGUAUUACCAGUUCUGCUAUGUGGGUCAGGAUGAUGUGGUCCAGGGAGCAAGUAUUUCUUUCCAAUUCCAUCCAGAAAAUGAGGAAGACAUCCUAGUUGUUACCACUCAGGGAGAGGUGGAAGAGAUUGAGCAGCACAACAAGGAGCUUGCGAAGAAAACCAGGAGCUGAAGGACAGCUGUGUCAGCCUCCAGAAGCAGAAUUCACACAUGCAGACUGAGCUCCAAAAGAAGCAGGAGGAGCUAGAAACCCUACAGAGCAUCAAUAAGAAGUGGGAACUGAAAGUGAAAGAGCAGGAGGACUGUUGGGAGACAGAGCUGCGUCAACUAAAAGAACAAAACCAGAAGAUGUCCUCAGAAAAUGAGAAGAUGGAAAUCAGAGUGGAUCAGCUUCAGGCCCAGCUGUCAAAUCGAGAGAAAGAAAUGGAGAAGCUUGUUCAGGGAGAUCAAGAUAAGACAGAGCAGUUAGAGCAUCUGUAAAAAGAAAAUGACCACCUGUUUCUCAGUUUAACUGAACAGAGGAAGGACCAGAAGAAGCUCGAGCGCCCACUGGAGGAAAUGAAGCAGAAUGAAACUACUGCAAUGAAGAAGCAACAGGAAUUAACGGAUGAAAACUUUCACCUGUCAAGAAGACUGAGCGAGAACAGAAUAAUAUGUAACGUUCUGCAGAGGAAGAAGAGAGAUUGGAAGGAGAAAAUGAUCUUUUGAAGAGGGAGAACAGCAGAUUGCUUAGUUACAUGGGUCUGGAUUUUAAUUCUUUGCCGUAUCAAGUAUCUAUUUCAGAUGAAGGAGGCACAGGACAAAAUCCAGGACUUGUCUAUGGAAACCCAUAUUCUGAUAUCCAAGAAAGUUCUUCCCCAAGCCUGCUCUCCAUCAAGAAAUGCCCCAUCUGCAAAGAUGAUAUUUGUGACUACACCUUGGAGCAACAGCAGAUGCAGUCCCUUUGUUCAAAUUGUCCAAUUUGUGGCAAGAUCUUCCCAGCAAGAGAGAAGUAGAUCUUUGAAGACCACGUGUUCUGCCACUCUCUAUGA